rnacentral:rRNA from 1 species
AGGACGAACGCUGGCGGCGUGCUUAACACAUGCAAGUCGAGCGGUAAGGCCUCCUUCGGGGGGUACACGAGCGGCGAACGGGUGAGUAACACGUGGGUGACCUGCCCUCAGCUCUGGGAUAAGCCUGGGAAAACCGGGUCUAAUACCGGAUGGGACUGCUUGCCGCAUGGUGGGUGGUGGAAAGUUUUUCGGCUGGGGAUGGGCCCGCGGCCUAUCAGCUUGUUGGUGGGGUGAUGGCCUACCAAGGCGGUGACGGGUA